rnacentral:rRNA from 1 species
AUUGAACGCUGGCGGCAUGCUUUACACAUGCAAGUCGAACGGUAACAGGCCGCAAGGUGCUGACGAGUGGCGAACGGGUGAGUAAUGCAUCGGAACGUGCCCAGUCGUUGGGGAUAACUACUCGAAAGAGUAGCUAAUACCGCAUACGAUCUAUGGAUGAAAGCGGGGGACCGUAAGGCCUCGCGCGAUUGUAGCGGCCGAUGUCAGAUUAGGUAGUUGGUGGGGUAAAGGCUCACCAAGCCAACGAUCUGUAGCUGGUCUGAGAGGACAACCAGCCACACUGGGACUGAGACACGGCCCAGACUCCUACGGGAGGCAGCAGUGGGGAAUUUUGGACAAUGGGCGCAAGCCUGAUCCAGCAAUGCCGCGUGCAGGAAGAAGGCCUUCGGGUUGUAAACUGCUUUUGUACGGAACGAAACGGCUCUGGUUAAUACCCGGGGCUAAUGACGGUACCGUAAGAAUAAGCACCGGCUAACUACGUG